CCACAUUCGAAUUCCACAUUCCACCCGUCCGUUUUCGUGAAAUCAAAAGUGUAGUGUGGACAUGUGGUUUCACAAGAAGUAAGAACAAAUAAAGCAGCAAGUUUUACCUCUGUUUGCUUACGGAAAUUUUCGGCUGUUUAACACUCACUAUCACUAACUGCUUCAGAAGUAACAAUUACUCAAGUCAAGUAAAAACAUGAAAAAUUAAAAGAUAUUAAAUUACCUUGAUUAUAAUUUAUUGUCAUCAAUGUGCUGUUUGCAUAUUAAUUUCCGAAAUAUAAAACAAAAUGAAAGGAACUGAACGCUAA